UUGGUUACCUAUGUCACAUUUAAUAUUUACUCUAAUUCUAUUUUUUUUUAAGAUAUAUAAGUAUCACAAUUAUUUAUCAACACAAAUAAACAAAGCAUAGAACUUUUACAACUUAAAGUGAUUAAUAAAUUUCUAUUUGUUGCAAGCUUUGGAGAAAAAUUAUGGCUGAAAUUAUUAAGUUUGCUUAUUUAAUGAUCUUUUUUAUUUCUUUGUUUGUUGUUGUAACUGAUGUUAGUGCAUUUUGGAAAAAAUGCAAAGAGGAUGCUAAUUGUCAAUUCUUUCCUUGUGUACCUCCUUAUGUUCCAAAAUGCGUUGUUCGUACAUGUAAAUGUCUUCCUCCGAAGAAUCCUCUCUAUAUCAAUACUCGUUUCCCCUGCUGACGUUUUUCAGUCUUUUAUGGCCGCCACACAAUAAUAUUGCAAAUGUAGAUAUUUUGCAAAUAUCAGGGGUUUCCAGCGGUUCCACCGAGCCAGUUGCUUUGGUGAGUUGCAGUUUACUGAGAUCUGUGUGGAGUAUGUUUGGUUGACGAAGUUUACCUUUAGCUGAACAAGGGUGCUUAUCGGUGAAAGAUGGUUCUAUAUAUUCUGCUUCAAUUCUGAAAUGCCCCGCUCUGGUUUUCAUUUUUGGUUAGGAGUUGGUGUUGGAGAAGGACGAUAGUGUGUUCUUGUUUGAAUUUCAAACGAUGUUGUUUUUAUAUUUCUUUGUUGUUUAAUAUUUUUUUCUCACCAUUUAUAUGUCUUAUGCUUAUGGUUGAACGUUAUAAUAUACUCCAAGGAGUAUAUUAUAAUAUGCUUAUGGUUGGUGUUGGAGUACUGUAUUUGCUAAUAAAAAAAACUAUAACUUCAAGGAGCGUAGUUAAAUUAAUUAAA